rnacentral:pre_miRNA from 1 species
AAUGAGCCCGGAUCCUAUGCUGUGUCCCCCGGCGCCCUGGGCUCUGGGGCCUGCGCUGCUGGAAUUGCACUCCAGGGGCCCCGUAGCUCCCU